UGUACAAGGGGUGAAUGCUGCGGUUUAAUUGGAGUCAACGCCGGGAACCUUACCAGGGGCGACAGCUGGAUGAAGGCCAGUCUGAAGGGCUUGCCAGACCAGCCGAGAGGUGGUGCAUGGCCAUCGUCAGCUCGUACCGUGAGGCGUGCGCUUAAGUGCGUUAACGAGCGAGACCCACAUCCCAUGUUGCUACUACCUUCUCAGGAAGGUAGGCACUCAUGGGAGACCGCUGGCGAUAAGCCAGAGGAAGGAGUGGGCGACGGUAGAUAGGCAAAGGGCCUGAACCGGUCUAUAGGAAAAUCAUGACUAUAGACAUCGCCAUGGCUCUUACAUGUCCUUUACCUAGCCGAAGUCCGUAUGCCCCGAAUGCCCUGGGCCACACGCGACGCACAAUGCGCGCCACAAUGGGAUGCGACCCCGAAAGGGGAAGCGAAUCCCCUAAAAGCGCGCCCAGUUCAGAUCGAGGGCUGUAACUCGUCCUCGUGAAGCUGGAAUCCCUAGUAAGCGAACGUCAUCAUCGUUCGCUGAAUAAGUCCCUGC
rnacentral:rRNA from 1 species